UGUGUGCGCGUGCCCAGUAUUCGUCUCUUUUAGCCACCCAGAGAGAGAGAAGAGGAUAAUCCCAGCGACAUCUGUGGCUCUGAGGCUUCCAGAAAUAAUCCGGUGAAAUAAUAUGGUGAGCUAUUGUUGCUGUUGCUUCUGAACUACAAAAUGAUUUUUAAAUGUAUUAUUGAAUGAGACUGUACAUUAUAAAUGUAAUGCUUUAACUCUAGAUGUUUGUUUGUGUAAAUGCUGUGUGUGCGGUGAGUCCUGCACGAGCGGGGAGCAGAGUUGCCAUGGAAACGGGGCGUCAACACAAAAACCGUUACUGGCAAACAGUAAUCUCCGUCUCUCGCUGCGGUUUACACUGUUUUAGAAACGGUUUAGUGUCUUCGGAAAGUCCGUUAUCAUUUUAGCAGUUUUCAGGUAACGUUAGGCUAACUCUAUAGACUGAGCUCUUGUUGAUGAAACUCUGGGCUUUUAAUCAAAUCUUCGAUUUGAUUAAAACAAAAUGAUUUUUAAAUUAAUUAUUGAAUGAUUAUUGAACGAGACUGUACAUUAUAAAUGUAAUGUUUUAACUCUAGAUGUUUGUUUGUGUGAAUGCUGUGUGUGCGGUGAGUUCUGCGCGAGCGGGGAGCAGAGUUGCCAUGGAAACGGGGCGUCAACACAAAAACCGUUACUGGCAAACAGUAAUCUCCUUCUCUCGCUGCGGUUUACACUGUUUUAGAAACGGUUUAUUUUCUUCGGAAAAGUCCGUUAGCAUUUUAGCAGUUUUCAGGAGGACAGAAAGAAACUCUACAGAACAGAAGUGAAGCUCCAAGAUUUCAACAUUUAUGAAGGGAGAUACUGACUUAGAAAUACAGGUGAACUGAAGAAGCUCAUGAAAUACAUGAAUAUGCCUUUUUCAGAAUACAUUUCACCAAUUUUAAGAAGUCCCUGACAUCAUGACCUUGUUUCCUUCUAAUGAACCUGGAACUGCAGAGUAAAUAUUGUUGACUCUGUGUCAGAUUGCUUGUUUUGUUCCUGGACUCUUCAGUGAUGAUGAGCAGAGUCUGAGUGAACCUGCUGUCAGACAGGUUGGCCUGAUUGACGAUUACAUCGUCCAUCGCCGAUGGCUGAUAGACAUCACGAUGCUGCGCCGGCAAACAGCGUCAUCAGCUGCAGUAUCUCGCCCGUGCAUCUGUUGUCAUGCGACAGAGAAGUCACGUUCUAUAGAGAGUUUCUACAGACAGUUGUGAACGUGCUGACAGCUGGUUGCCCAGGCUAUGGAUUAAAGGGCCAGCAGAGCCCUGCUCACCCUGACGGCCCACCGCUGCUGUCAGACAACAUCUCAAAGAUGCUAUAAACUGCAGGACUAGAUGGCCAUCCCAAGGUUUCUAGAGAUUACAGCAGCUCCAGACUGAAUCCAAACUCACUCGUGAAGACUUCAGAUGACACCAACGCUCACAAAGACUGUAGACGACAACUGUACAUGAACACACAAAACAUUGGACACACAAAACAAAUAUUAUCCUUAUUUUGCCUAUAAGGGUAAAUUUGAUGAUUUUCAAACUGCUUUAUUGUAACGUCUCUUAUAUCUGUAAAUGAACAAUAUUUACUCUCUGAGUUAUGUGGACCUACAUGUCCCCUUUUAUUUGUAAGCAUCACUUUAAAAAUGUUGAAAGAUAAUGUUAAUGUUAACUGAAUGCAAAACUAGAGACUUGUUUAGUAAGAUUUUAUCAGAAAAUAUUUUUGAACUUUUAUCAUGCAAUUUAAAACAUUUUAAUUGCUUAAUUAUAUUGUUUACCUGGUUUUAUUUUGUGUUUAUGUAACUUUUUAAAAAGUUCUUGGCAUAAAGUUUGCAUGCGAUGCUGACAGCACUGAACACAUGACUUUUUAUUAUGAACUAGAUGGUCUUCCCAGUGAGUCUCAGUCAUCUCUGGCUUUUUAAACUGUAACCUUGAAACAUGCAUUUCCUGUAAACCUACUUUGAAAUAAGUAUUGUCAAAAGGUGCUAUACUCAUACAACAUUUAACCAUGCAAGUACUGUAGUAAUGGUUAUUUUUGUUUUUACUAUGGUUUUACUGCAAAAGCUGUAGUAAAAUCAUGGUUAAUGUUCAAAAGACUACAAAUAAUCCCGAAUUAUCCACUUUUGAUCAAAGCAUCUGGUAAAUGUUAUUGUAUUUGUACAUGUAAUAUGAAAUAAAUGUAAAUAUUAAUAAA